CAAAAAUACAAGAUAAAAGCUGAAAAUUCUGUUCAGAAGCCUUUUUGUUAGUGCAUUGUGCUCUCAUUAUGCCUGCUCUGAUGACAGCAGUAAUGUGGGUGCUUCUACCCCUUGCUCUGUUUACCUCAGUUGCUAUGCCCAGCAAGAAGGAAAAAAGCCAUGGGAGGCAGAAGAAACUCAGAACAUUUUAUGGGAGGUGGCAUAGCAGGCUUUGAAGAGGCAGUCCUGAGGACAAAUCCUGUGAAUGCUUUUCAUAAGAACCAGAGCAGGAAGAAGAGCACAUAGGUCCUUUGUGGUGACGCCAGAGGACCAGCUUAUAGAGCUGGUUAAGGUAUCCCUUCCAGGACUCUCAGAAAAACCUAGCAGGUGCAUGGAACAGUGGGGAGCUGAGGGGCAGGACUGAGAUCAAAUGAUCACAUUCUGGGCAGAGGAACCACGGAAUCUGAGAAGGAAGCUAUAUGCCCUACCUGAAGAUCAAGAAAGCAGAGGGGAAUUCUUCAACUGAUCUAAUCUCCAGGGGGACCAAAGAGAAAUUCUCCGGAGCUAGUCCUUUUUUUCAGUGUGCAACAUAACAGCACUGUAGCUAAAUCAUUAGCAAAAGUAAGCAGAAGACAGUUUGACACACACAAAUCAUCACGAUAAUAGGUGCUAUUAUUUUCUUCAAAAAUUAAGUUUAUUUUCUUGUUCAUUAUCUACCUUCUCCCUCUAGAAGGAAAGCUCCAUGGGAACAGAAAUGUUGCCUUUCCCAUUCACCCAGUAUCUUCAGCACCAAGAACAGGACUCAUGCAGAAAGGGUACCUCAAACAUAUUUGUUAAAUAAACACAAAUUGAAUCCAACUGGCA
rnacentral:lncRNA from 1 species